rnacentral:misc_RNA from 1 species
CCCCAAUGGGUUCUCCGGAUUUCUGGAGACUUGUAGGGGUUGUGGGAUUUUUGAUGUGUCGUCUCCGGACGGGCGGUGCAGGGUAGUCGAGUUAGACUUGGUGGAAUUCCGUCGAUAGGAGUUCCGUCGAGUCUGGUCGGCUGUGUGUUGGACGGUGCAGGGUAGGCUGCUUGGACAUGGUCGGUUCGAGGAUCGAUUCGGGGGCCGGCCUGUCGAUGAUGUGUGAUGUAUGCGGUCUAGGGUAGGCUGGUUUGUCUUGGUUCAAUUUGAUGUCGGCUCCCGUGCAGGCCAGAGUGAGGGGGGUCCAGGGUAGGUACAGGGUAGGCAGCUUAGAUUUGGUCGAUCUGGAGGUCGAUUCUCCGGCUGGCGGAUCUGACACUGUCGAAACGAGAUGCGAGCGGUAUAGGGUAGGCUAGUUUNCGUCCUCGCCAGGUUGCGAUUUGGACGAGAUAUGUGGUUUAGGGUAGGCUCUAGGGUAAGUAGAAUUCGAGUUUCGUCGCCGACAGUUUUCUGUGGGUGUGUGGUAGGUACAGGGUAGGCAAAUCUCUCUCCGGCCAGUACUUGUCUGGUGGUCGUGAGUCGAUUUUUUUGUUUUGCCAUACUAUUGAAUUUUGCGGAAAUUCAAAAGUGGCUCGGGAGUCCCGCCUGGCGUGCGUCCGACUCGAACAUCGUCGGUGUACAUAUGAGAGGGAGUAAUCCGGCCCGGCCGGGGCCCAUCGCGAGCUGCCGGGUAGGUAAAAGUAAAAAAGUUGUUAAGAGGCGCGGUGUCGGCGUGCUUGUAUUUGCGGGAGAGAAUUAUCUGGGGGUGCUGGGUAGCCGGGAAGACUUGGACGGAUCUGGCCCGGGAAUGGGUCUGGGCCUGGAUUCUGGUGUGGUGUAGGGUAGGCGUAGAUAGAUGAGUGGUCUUAGGGUAGAUACAGGGUAGCCAGACGUCUGGUAUAUAGUAUGGGGGUGUAGGGUAGGUCUGGACACCGUUUUCCACUUCACCCUUCCCUUUAGUCGAGGGAGGACGAUCUUGGCUGGGACGGAGGUGUAGGGUAGGCUUAAUUUACGAUUACAUGAUCUGUGUCACUCUAGGGUAGGUGAAAAUCCCAUAUAUAUCUGAUCACAUUUGGUGAAGAGGUGGUUUGGCUGGUGGGAUGGACAAAAAGUGCAAUGUAGAAUUAUAUGUGAUUUUGCAAAAGUGGGUGUGAAAUUGGGAAAGUCGGGUUU